AACGAACGCUGGCGGCAUGCCUAACACAUGCAAGUCGAACGAGACCUUCGGGUCUAGUGGCGCACGGGUGCGUAACGCGUGGGAACCUGCCCUUAGGUUCGGAAUAACUCCCCGAAAGGGGUGCUAAUACCGGAUAAUGUCUUCGGACCAAAGAUUUAUCGCCGUUGGAUGGGCCCGCGUUGGAUUAGCUGGUUGGUAGGGUAAAAGCCUACCAAGGGGACGAUCCAUAGCUGGUCUGAGAGGAUGAUCAGCCACACUGGGACUGAGACACGGCCCAGACUCCUACGGGAGGCAGCAGUGGGGAAUAUUGGACAAUGGGCGAAAGCCUGAUGCAGCAAUGCCGCGUGAGUGAUGAAGGCCUUAGGGUUGUAAAGCUCUUUUACCCGGGAUGAUAAUGACGGUACCGGGAGAAUAAGCACCGGCUAACUCCGUG
rnacentral:rRNA from 1 species